GUGGGGAAUAUUGGGCAAUGGGGGAAACCCUGACCCAGCAACGCCGCGUGAAGGAAGAAGGUUUUCGGAUCGUAAACUUCUAUCCUUGGUGAAGAUAAUGACGGUAGCCAAGAAGGAAGCCCCGGCUAACUACGUGCCAGCAGCCGCGGUAAUACGUAGGGGGCAAGCGUUGUCCGGAAUGAUUGGGCGUAAAGGGCGCGUAGGCGGCCUGGUAAGUCUGGAGUGAAAGUCCUGCUUUUAAGGUGGGAAUUGCUUUGGAUACUGUCGGGCUUGAGUGCAGGAGAGGUAAGCGGAAUUCCCGGUGUAGCGGUGAAAUGCGUAGAGAUCGGGAGGAACACCAGUGGCUAAGGCGGCUUACUGGACUGUAACUGACGCUGAGGCGCGAAAGUGUGGGGAGCAAACAGGAUUAGAUACCCCGGUAGUCC
rnacentral:rRNA from 1 species